GUGUGUGUGUGUGUGCGCGCGCGCGCGCGCACGCACACACGUUCACAGAAAACAACUUUAGGUGUCAUCCUCAGAAACACUGUCUGCAUCCUUUGAGAGAACGUCUCUCACUACUCUGGAAUUAGGCCAGUGAGCCCAGGGAUGGUUCUGUCUCUGCCUCGUCAGCAUUGAUGUUAUCAAUCUAUGUGUGCUAUGGUAUCUAACCAACAGUUCUUACAUGAGUGCUACAGUUCAAACUCAGAUCCGCAUGUUUGUUAGAAUGACUUAAGCUAUCUUUCCAGUCCCUGAAAUAUGCUUUCAAAAGGAAAAAUAAAGCAAAUCCUAAAAACUAUCUAAGAAUACAAGAUGUAUGACCUGGGGUAGGUAGGUCAAUGAUAUCUGCACCAAGUUUCAGAAAAGUUUGAUUUUUGCAUAUGGGAAAUGAACUAAGUAGGCAAGCUCUUGAUCUUGUCUUCAUAUGUCGGUAAAGUGUAGUCUCAUGAACUACCAGCCAAUCCACCCAGCUAUUGUAAGUAGCAAACUAAAAAUCUGGUCAGGGCAUAUUGUAAGCUACAAAGCUCAAUAUAAUCACUGGUAAAUGACAUAAGAAGAGACCUCAGGAAUAACGCAGGCAUUUUCAUCUAUAGAGUUGGUUCUCUUAUAAAAUGGGAUAGAGACUACUUAUACUUAGCUCAUUAGAUUUCUUAAAUAUAUUAUUAUAUGAACGUCUUUCAAGUGUUUAAGUGGCAUGUAGCUACUUGGUAAUAAACUAUUUGUUUAACAUGGCAGCCACACUAAUAGAUGUGCACAUAAUAAUCUCUCAAAAGCUGAGAAUAUUAGGGACUACAGAGAACAAUUAGCUAGUUUGGGAGAAGUUAUGCUCGGGUGCAGUUUCCCUUCCUUUCCUUUUUAGAUGUUCCUAGUACAAUUCUGUAACCCAUCAGAUGUGUAUGAUUUUCUUACUGGAGUUUCUGGAAGCACUGUUGUCACCAUGAAGGUAAGCAAGAGUGACUGGAUCAAGAAGUGAAAUUGGGGAAGAAGAAGGUGGCUUCCUGGCUAUGACUAAUGAAUUUGAAAUCAAGACUAACUUCUUCCACAUACUUUUAAGUAAGUGUGUGGUAGAAAAAAUUACUAUUGUUCUCUUUACAUGGAACAUUAAUCCAUACAGACUCAAAGACUAGACAGCAUAAUAAUUUAUGAAGAGAUGUACUAACAAAAACUCUUUACCACCUGUCAUUUAUAUUGUGUUUUUUUGAGACAGCCUGGCUAACCUCAGAGUUAAUAUGUAGAUGAGCCUUAACUCCUGAUUCUUCUUCCUCCAUCUUCAUGUGCUUAGAAUUAAAAGUGUACACACAGUUACUAUCUCUCCUACCAUCGUGUGUGUAUUCUUGGGAACUGACCCCAGGCCUUGCACAUGCUAGACAAGUGUGCUACCCUGAGCUAUACUCACUGCUUACUUCCAUUUUCAGCAUGAGUCAAGGUCUUGCUAAAAUGGCAAUUUUUCAAUUAUUCUACCUUAGUCUACUGAACAGAUAGGAUUACCUGUGUGCCAACAUGCUUGGCCCCUCAAAUGCUAAUGUGUAAGAUUCUUCAUUUUUAGGGCCGUUAGGAUGUCUUAGCAGACUAGGGCACUUGCUGCCAAACCUGAAGACCCCAGUUCCAUUCCUGGGGCCCAUGUAAUGGAAGAACAACUGUAUUCUGAUAGUGCCUCAUGGUGCAAGCACAUGCACAGGUACACAUGGACACACACACACAUGGACACACAUACACACUACAUGUAAUAAAAAGUUAGAAACAUUAAUUUUUGGCUUUUGCUAAACAAUAGCCUACUAGCAAACUCAAUUCAUCAAGUCUUUUCAUCCUGUUUCUUAGAGAUUAAUGUAGGGAAAGAAAGAGUGAUAACACCUGCUGUGCUUUGAAUAUGCUUGGCCCUAUUAGGAGGUGUGGCCUUGUCUGAGGAAGUGUGUCACUGUGGUGGUGGGCUUUGAGACCCUCCUCCUAGCUGCCUGGAAGACAGUAGGCUGUUUGUUGCUUCCUUUGGAUAAAGAUGUAGAACUCUGAGCUCCUUCUCCAGCACCACGUCUGCCUGGAUGCUGCCAUGCUUCCUGCCAUGAUGAUCAUGGACUGAACCUCUGAGCCUGUAAGCCAGCCCCAGUCAAAUGCUGUUCUUUAUAAGACUUGCUGUGGUUGUGAUGUCUCUUCACAGGAACGGAAACCUUAACCAAUACACCUGAAAACCCCAAAGGCUCAAGAUUAAAGAACAGUAUUUUAGUUAAAGCACUCCUGGUGAUGUUGUAAGUAAUGCUUUUUCUUUCUUCUUUUUGAAUAAAACUGAGCUUACUGUAAUUUUAUAAAUUAUAUAACAAAAUUGUUCUGCUAUAAAAAGGGCCCUCCCCAUAACAUAAACAUGGUUUCUUUAUUUAUUUAGAGGCAGAGUCUAGUAUGUACCUUUGGCUGUCCUCGAACUUGCCAUGUAGGCCAGGAUGGCCUCAAAAAACACUAAAAAACUUGGAAGUUUUAUUUUUAUUUAAUGCACAUAGAGUGUUUUGCUACAUGUAUGUCUGUGUGUCAUAUGACAGUAUCUACAGAGGCCAUUACAGGGUGUCAGACCCUGUGGGACUGGAGUUACAGACAGUUAUAAGCUAUGAUUUGGGUGCGGGGAAGUGAGCCAAGUUCCUUGAAAGUACAAGCGCUCUUAACUGUUGAGCCAUCUCUCUAGCCCAUGAAAAUAAUUCAUAUUGUCAUAUAUGUUCAUGGUCAUCAAGUUAAGAUUGCUUAGUGUUUUUAAGACAAUAUUGUGGGAGUAAAAGUCACUAGUAGGACUGACUAACUCAUUUGUUUUAUUUUUUGAAGCUGUGCCUUGCUGUUGUAGUAUUAGCUAGUCCAGAACUUAACUACAUGGCCCAGGCUGGACUUAAAACUUAUGGCAAUUCUCCUGCCCCAGUGUCUCAAGUGCUAGAAUUACAGGUGUGCACAACACCUGGUCACUAUUAAAAAGAUCUCCAAAUAAGCUGAGUGUGAGUCUUUAAUUCCAGAACUCAGGAGGCAGCAGCAGGUGGAUCUGCUACUUUAAGACCAGCUUGAACUACAUAGCAAAUUCCAGGGCAGCCAGAACUACGUAAGAGAGACCCAUUAUCAAUAAGCAAACAAAUAAAUAAAAAUGAAGUGUUAGGGUCAGCCAUGGUGAUGUGCAGAAACCAAGAACAUCAUGAGUGGAAGACCAGACUCUCAGGUAUUUAAGGACUGCCUGACUAACAAGAUGCUGUCUCAGACAGAGAGAGGGGAAGGGAGAGGCACAGAGAGGAUAGCUCAAGCUUAGUGACAGUGCUUGCCUAUCAUGCUCUAGGCCCUGGGUUCCAUGAGCUAGUUUAAACUACUGGGAAAAAAAAUAGUUCUUGAAAAGCUAUAACGAAAAAGUAAUUUACUAGAAAUAAAAUUCAAAGACAACUAUUACUCUUUAAAAUGAAAGUUGAAUGGCUAGGGAUGUAGCUCAACAGGUGGAGUGCUUGCCUAAUGUGCGUGCGUGCGUGCGUGCGUGAGUCUUUGUGGCACUAGAUGAAGGGAUGCUCCCUUUGGUAACUCAAGCACUUUCAGAGGCAGGAGAAUUAGAGGUUUAGGUGCUCUUUAGCUAAAAAGCAAGUUCUAGGCCAUCCUAGGAUAUAGGAGACCCUGUCUCAACCCCCCCAAAUAACAGCCCCCUUGCCCCUCUCCCGAUCCAGGAGAACUGAAGCCUGGAAGCACAGUUAUUUAUGAAGCUGAGGUAGGAGGAACAUCACUAAAUCCAGGCCAGCAAAUUAAUAAGAUCAUGCCUCAAAAUAGAAAAUAACAAAAGGCUGAGGAUACAGUUCACAGGAGCACUGGCCUGGCAUGUGUAACCCCCAGCACUGCAAAAGCAAAACUGAAAAACAAAAGUGACUGUAUAGCACAGUGUUUAAGGGUACGGACUCUGGAGACAGAUUAUCAAGGUUCAAAUCCAAGCUCCACUUAGUGGAUUUGGAAUUAAAGAAGCCAUCUGAACUCAGCUUCCUCACUAUAUAAAUGUUAUUCAAAGAUUAAAGUGAUUCAUAAGUUUUUCAUAUGUCAUAUAACUUUAGCAUUGUGGCAGUUAGGAUCUGAGAUUAGGUUGGCCCGUGACACUGGUUGUGAGCUACCCACGUGGGUGCUAGGAACUACACUCAGGUCCACUCUAAGACCAGCAAGCACUUUAACACUGGGCAAUUUCUCCAGCCUCUUAUUUUGUUCCAGUGUUGGGAGACAGAACAGAGGGCCUCACGCAUGCUAAUGCUGGGCACACUCUGUCUCUAGGGGACAUUCCGGCCCUGGUACUCGUGAGGAUCUGAGCAGUGAACAAGUGUCACUAGGAAAGGGUAAGGGCACCUAUAAAAAGAGCAUCCAUGCAGCAGAUUUUGGUAGACUAUUAAUUACAACAGAUUUUCCUGGAUCAGCAAUACAGGUUAAAGGUCACAGCAGAAUCUUCAAAAGUAAGUUUAUGUACUUUCACAAUUUAUUCCCUUGAAAUUUAACUUAGAUUAGAAAAAUAAUAUUAAAUGUAAAUUUUGGGGUCCCUUAAAUUUUUACCUGGAUCUAAUUUUCUUUCUAUUUCUGUCAGUUUUGGGCCCUAAUUAAAAUCUACCUGUUAAAAAUAUAGAUAAUGCACUAACAGAACUGUUUUGAAAGAUCACAUAGCAUUUACCUAAUAGCAGAUGUUAAAGAGAUCAUUAAAGUAACUUACUUGAUUCAUUUAUUGGGUUUUCCCAGAAAUGAGAGUUAGUAUAAAAAACAAAAAACAAACAAACAACAAAAAAAAUUCAAAACCCAAAACCAAACAAAAAACAAAACAAAACAAAACAAAAAACCCAGGUAAUAUCAUAGACAGCAACUAAUUCAUUAAUUUUUAUAUAUAGCCAGAUCUAUUUCUGUUUUGCAAAGAAAUCAAGGUUUUAUUCUUUUAGCAAGUCAGUGCUGUACCGGGUGUAACUCCUUAUAUGAACAAGCACAAUCAUGGCAUUAAACUUACUUUUCCAAAGAAGCCUUUGAAGAACUUCCUUUCCUGGAGGAACAGGGGACAAGUCGAGUGCUAUUAUUACAUAGGCUAAAUGUCCCGGGUUUCACAUCAAUUAAGACAUAUAGAAGUAAAAGAGAAGGAAAGAUGGGAGAAGGGUGGGGAUAAGUUUUAUAGAGUUAUCCAUACCAGGAGUGACAGGGGAAAGGAAAGGUGCGUGAAAAUGCAGGGAAACACACUGCACGACCUAAGAAUCCAAGGGAAGAGAAAAACUCAGAGCCUGUAUUCAUGCAGGACAACUACUCAAUUUAGGAAUCUCUAUUUUUCCAACAGAGAUUAUCCAAAUUUGGCAGCAGAGAAAAAGAUUAGAACAUACUAGCUGGGCAUGAUGUUGCAUUUAAAAUUCAUAAUAACAAAUAAAAGGUUAGUUCUACAUACAUUUUGCUACUUAAAAUCAAUGGUAGUCAUUGUGGUGGCACGUGCCCAUCAUCCUAUCUCCUUAGGAGGCUGAGACAGGGCCUCCUGAGCCCAGGAGGUCAGGGUCAGCCUUGAUAUCAUAGUAAAAACUUGCCUCCUAAAUAAAAAUAAAACAGGAGCCUGAGAAGCUGUCGGGUCAGCCUGGCCUUCACAGUGAGAUUCCAGAUCAAAGCAAGCAACCAACUUGUGGGCAAAGCACACUUCCCACUGUGUGUAAGGCUGAGUCUGAUGCCCCGGCACUGCAAACCUAACAGAACACAACAAAAACAACCCAUAAAAUUAAGUCACGAGCACACAUCCACAGUCUCAGCAUGCCCUUUAAGUCAGGAAGGAAGCUUCAUUACAGGGGUCCCCAUCUACUAGCAUCAGUCUGCAUAUAACCCGCUCAUCAAUUCUACAACACACAGGGAUAAAGAGCAGGACCUACUCCAGGGGAGACUAAGUAAAGCUAAUGUUUACACUGGGGCACAGAGGAAAAAUGAGAACCAAACCAUGUUCAUGGGUCACAAAUGGAACAAGAAACAGGGUUUUGUUUAACUAUUCUUUUAAAGCAAAGACUCUUGCAUUGAUAUAGCCAUAUAAUUAUCAACUCUCAGGAGAAGGGAGCCAUAACAAGCGAUGGUCCUACCACCAACUGGUUUUGUUUUGUUGAGAUGGUCUUACUAUGUAGCCUGGAACUCACUAUGUAGACCAGGUUGGCCUGAACCUCACAGCGGCCUCUGCAUUCUGAGUGUUGGAAUUAAAAGGGUUCACCACCACAAGUAGCCCUACCAUUAAUUUUUAAGUACCGUUUACAUAAACUGAUUAUUAAGUAAAAUUUGAAGAACUUAUACAGAGUAGAUAGGUUCAUAUUCUCCCAACCCAGUUUUAUAUUCCCUUCUUAGGGCUGAACUAUACUCUUAAUCCUUUACUUUUUAUAAUCAACUUUUGUUGCUGCAAAAAUGUCUAGUAAAAGACCACUAUGGUGAAAAAUGAGUUCAUGAACUCAUUCAGAGCUUUUAAACACGAGAAUGUUUGAAAGUCAUAGAUGGCAUCAAAUAUUUCCACAAGACACUCUAAACUGAAGCUGGAAAAAUAAUCAUGUGAUCCAGGUAGCUUUGCAGCAAGACUAAAAUUAUUUCUGCUGCCAAGUUUGGUGGCACUAGUUUUGUUAGACUACGAGUAACGAUCAGCUUUCAAGGAUGCAGCCAAAGUUACAGAUUCACCAUUCUCACGGGGUGGGGAGUCAACAGUUAAUUCAGCUCCUAGAAAAGCUCUUGUUAAAGACAGGGUUUUUUUCUCUUUCUUAUAAAAGACCCCAGAUGUUAAAGAAAAAAGGUGACAUGCAAAAUGCAUAAAAGACAGAUAUCGGAUUAGAGAAUAUUAAUGUUCUUUAAAAAAACAAGUUAUGAUUCUUUUACCUGCUAAAAUAAGAACAUAUAUUAAAACAAAUAUAUCAAAUAGUGAAUAAAAACCCCAACAUACUAGAAUUACUUAUACAAUGAAAUGAAUCUAAUCCCAAAGUGGGGGGAGAGACACAGAGAGAGAGGGAGAGGAAGAGUGGGAGAGGGAUUGAGCGAGCAAGCGAGAGAGAGAGAGAGAGAGAGAGAGAGAGAGAGAGAGAGAGGGGGGGGAGAGAGAGAGAUUGAGAUUGACUGAUUCAGAAGACAGUGGAAUGAAAUAACCUUUCACAAUAAAAGUCAUUUUGAUUACUGUGAAGCAAGGCAAAGCAUGAUAUAAUAAUUAUAGAACUCACUGCUACGUGACAAUAUUUAUGACCCUAUAACAUACAGGCAACAGAACUAAGCAACAACUGUUUCUAAAAUUAUUUCUAUGCACUCUAAGUACUAUAGUAGUAAUUAGUGAAUUAUGUCACAAAAUAAAUUAGUUAAAAAUAGUUGUUAUGCCAGGGCUACACAGAGAAACCCUGUCGUCUCAAGAAACCAAAAAAAAAAAAAAAAAAAAAAAAGAAGAGAUGUUACUUUACGUACAUAAGGGCAAGAGGUGGCCCGAGGAACACAUUUUAAAAACUAUCCCAAUGCUACUUUCUUCACUUGAGAAUGUCAGCUUUGCCACUCACUUCUAACAGAAGCUAAUGCAAUUCUAGAUUAUUCGGGACCACGUGGGGGGAAGGUCUCUAUAACUGUACAUGUAAAUCACUUUCAAUUUCCUACAAGGUUCAAACCUCUAGAAACGGAAUUGUUUGUUUCUAGGUCGCUCACAUGACAGUCUGUUUUGCUGCUUAACUGGUAUCCUAGCUUCGUAAUUCUCCAUAUUUUAAAGCUUUAGCGUUCAAACAUAUUCCAAAGGUAUUUUGUUUUACUUCUCUGUAGCUUUAUACACUCCUAAAAUUUGUUUCCAUUUAUUUAAAAUUCUUUCAGGAAACUUUAUGAAUUUUUUUGCUAAUAAGCAAAAAAAUAUUAGUAACAUAGUAUUUGGUACAAUAUUAGAACCAGGCACAGCAGGCUAUAGAUCCUAGAUAAAUAUUUGUUAAAAGAAUGUUGUCAAAGACAAGACAAACAGUAUUUCUACAGUAAAAAUUUGAAAGGAAGGAAAAAAAAAAAAAACCAAACCAUGGAGAUAUGUGGAGUCAAGAGACAAUAUCCUGAAGACUUUCUACUUACUACAAGGUUCUCAGUAUAGUACCAAAAGCUUAUCUACAGACCCAUGAUGUUUUUGUCUGUUCACUUUUGUUUAUAGAGACAGGGUUUCUCUGUGUAUCCCUGGCUGUCCUAGAACUCCGUAGGCCAGACUGGCCUUGGAACUCAGAGAUCCACUUGCCUCUGCCUCCGGAGUGCUAGAAUGAAAGGCAUGUGCCACCACCACCUGGUUUAGAACAGUUAAGUUUUACUGAGCAUAAUAAAAAGUUUACCCCUUACCCAAUUUUAUUUUUAAUACACUUGCCAAUGUUAAGUCUAUACAACUGUCCUAAGUGUCCUGGAUAUGCCAGGGGAUGAUGCCAUGUGAUCUUUGGAGUCAGGGUCUCUCUGAACCUGGAGUACACUAACUCACCUACACUGGCUGGCCAGUGAGCUUCAGCGAUCUUUGUUUACACUUCCCAGCUCAGGGACUAUACCCUUAUGGUUUUUGUUUUUAACACAGGUGCUAGGCAAUGUAAACUGAGGUCCUGACGACUGUAUGGCAAGCACUUCACCAACUAAGCUAUGGCCCUGGCCCAGCACGAAAGUAAGCCUACAUCGUUUCCCUUGGGAAAACACACUGCUCUUACUGUUUACUGACAGAACACAGAUCAGGACCAGCAACCACCAAAUACAUACAGCUUUCAAUCUCUUUACGGCAUCUUCACAGAUGUGCAUUCCUCUUGACUCAUCAACUUCUACGUGGCCGAGGUACUGUGGAGAGAAGGGAAGGCGUUAGCUCCACCAAUGCUCACUGAGACACUAUUCUCAGUAGAUAGCUGAGGAUACACAGAGAACCACAAAGAUAUGUGUUAUAGUCUCCCCUCCCCCAGCCUGAAACCUGCUUGCUCAGGGGUGGAGCU